rnacentral:rRNA from 1 species
UACGGGGGGGGUAAGCGUUGUUCGGAAUUACUGGGCGUAAAGGGCUCGUAGGCGGCCAACUAAGUCGGACGUGAAAUCCCUCGGCUUAACCGGGGAACUGCGUCCGAUACUGGAUGGCUGGAGGUUGGGAGAGGGAUGCGGAAUUCCAGGUGUAGCGGUGAAAUGCGUAGAUAUCUGGAGGAACACCGGUGGCGAAGGCGGCAUCCUGGACCAAUUCUGACGCUGAGGAGCGAAAGCCAGGGGAGCAAACAGG